rnacentral:misc_RNA from 1 species
AAGGAGUCUAACAUACGCGCAAGUCUUUGGGUGGAAAUCCUUUGGGCGCAAUGACGGUGAAAUAUGCUUAGCUUUAUUACAACAACUGGGCCGGGACUAUGGGUUUUAAUCCUUGUUCUGUGUUUACAUUAGAGCGCACAUGUUGGGACCCGAAAGAUGGUGAACUAUGCCUGAAUAGGUCGAGGCCAGAGGAAGCUCUGGUGGAAGAUCGUAGCGGUUUUGACGUGCAAAUCAAUCGUGGAAUGUGGGUAUAGGGGCGAAAGACUAAUCGAGCCAUCUAGUAGCUGGUUCCCAC